UCCUGCCAGUAGUCAUACGCUCGUCUCAAAGAUUAAGCCAUGCAUGUGUAAGUAUAAAUAAUUUUACUUUGAAACUGCGAAUGGCUCAUUAUAUCAGUUAUAGUUUAUUAGAAAUAUUUUACUACUUGGAUAACCGUAGUAAUUCUAGGGCUAAUACAUGAGUAAAACCUCAACUUCGGAAGAGGUGUGUUUAUUAGUAUGAAAACCAUAUAUCUUCGGAUAUAAUAGUGAGUAAUAAUAACCUUUCAUAUCGUAUGUCGUAAGAUAACGAUAGUUCUUUCAAGUUUCUGCCCUAUCAGCUUUCGAUGGUAGUAUAUGGGACUACCAUGGCAGUAACGGGUAACGAAGAAUUUGGGUUCGAUUUCGGAGAGGGAGCCUGAGAGAUGGCUACCACAUCCAAGGAAGGCAGCAGGCGCGUAAAUUACCCAAUCCUGACAUAGGGAGGUAGUGACAAUAAAUCACAAUGCGGAACUUUUAGUU
rnacentral:rRNA from 1 species